UCCUACGGGGCGCAGCAGUGGGGGAUAUUGGACAAUGGGGGAAACCCUGAUCCAGCGAUGCCGCGUGAGGGAAGAAGGUUUUCGGAUUGUAAACCUCUGUGGAGGGGGACGAUAAUGACGGUACCCCUUUAGGAAGCCACGGCUAACUACGUGCCAGCAGCCGCGGUAAUACGUAGGUGGCGAGCGUUGUCCGGAAUUACUGGGUGUAAAGGGAGCGUAGACGGCAGCGCAAGUCUGGAGUGAAAUGCCGGGGCCCAACCCCGGAACUGCUUUGGAAACUGUGCGGCUCGAGUGCGGGAGAGGAA
rnacentral:rRNA from 1 species